GCCCUCGUCGCCGCCACACCUCAGCCCCCUCUCCGCCAUGGCAGCACCUCAGCCCGCUCGCCGCCGCGUUCGCGCGUCAGCCCACUAGACAUCCUCGCCUCCGCGGUCGCACCUCUGCCCGCUCGCCGCCCCCGUCGCAACCCAACGCCCCCUCCAAUGAAUGCCGCCCGAACUACAUCAUCCUAUAGGACGCCGGCCGCGGCGUCACGAAGUUGCUGGUAUCGCCCAGUUCGCCGUGGGUGAAGGCGCCUCAGACGCAAGCGAAGCUGCAGCUUCCUCAACGUAUGCCUCACCAUGGGGCUCGCUGUGCUGCUAGCGGACAGCCGCGACCCCGCUGGUGUGGUGCGAGACUUCCAGAUCACCCGGCGGCUGGGGUUGGAGGAUGGCAUUCCCACAACUCCUCAUCGGGGGUGAGCGUGGCCUGGAGCAGCAAGCCCAUAGCUCCCUCAACCAUCAUGCUAAUCUCUUCUUGUUAUUCAUCCUGAAUCUAUGGUGCACAUACAGUACAUGCUUAUGUAUUGUCUCAAUGAUUAUCCUUUUUUAGGAUUCAACUUGCGUUUUGUGCAAUUUCAUAUACUCAAUCAAUAAAUUCUCAGUUUUUUUGCAGGAUUUGUGUUUGUUCGGAUGCUUAGGUGCAGCUGCAUCAAGGGAAUUGGCCGAUGGUGUGCAAUACAUAGACAAAGCAAAAGUCAGUAUGGAGCAAAUACGAGUUCGGUUGCUCUUCUGACAAUUUCACCUUGAUUUUGUUGUUAGUGACCGAUUGAGGUGUCACUCCCACCACGGUGGUGACGGCAACCUUCCCCCUCCAGCCGUUGUGGUCGUAGCGUACCGCUCCAAUGCCAUCUGACACAACCGUCUUGUGGUGGAGGAGGGCCACCUCGAACACAUUGGGAAGCGGUGAGCGUGGGCUUCGCCACAUGUUCUGCCGAGUCAUCGAUGUCAGUUUCUAGGUUUGUGAGUGCACUGUCUGUUGCUUCUUUUUACGAUGUCUGUCAACACAAGCACAGCGUGUUCCAAGUAUGAACGGAGAGAGUGCUCCCAUUGGGUUCUACAUGUGGACAUUGUGGCCGGUGAGGCAUAACUGGAAGUUUCUCUGAUGGUCGACAACAAGGAUCACUGCACAACAGGCUUUGGAGCAGGCUCUGAUUCACGGAGAACUCCCCAGCAACCUCAUCUUUUGUGGAUAUUGAAUCACUGCACAAUCCAACUACCUCUGCCUGAAGAUUUGAGAUUUUUCAGAGAAGAAAGAAGUCUAGAGGCGUGGAUGUAUGUUUUUAGGGGGGAAUCAAGUCUGCAGAAUAUACACUAAUUUGAGGAAUUCAGAUGUUACCCUUGGUCAUACAGGGAAAGUGUGAAGCACUCUGGCCAAUUUUCCGCAUUUCUCAUCCAAGAAGCCGUUACAUUUAUGAUCUUUUCUAUAGAAUAAGGAAGGAUAUAUCUAAGGAGCUGUAUGAAUUUUGCCUGGACCAGGAUUAUGCAGACCGUAAUCUCAUUACAAAGUGGAAAAAUGUUAGGUGCCUCA